AAAAUGUUUUAUUUCUUAAAAUGAAUAAAAAAAAGAAGUUUAAGUUCCUUUUCAAAAUAUAUAUAUAACUAAAAUCAACAUAUUGAAGAUGAGGAUAAACCAUAAAUAACUUAAAUAAAGUGUUCCAGAUCAUCCGAAAGCCUAACACACAUGAAGGCCCAUCAAAAUGGGAUAAGCACAAUCACGUGGCACAAUGACCACAGAACCAAGGCAAUGACUUUUGAAGUUGUGACUCGAAAGCAGAUUUUGUUCAGAAUUUGGGGGACAUACCUUCACUAAAACGGGACGGACCCGGGGGGCAAGCAGGGGCUCCAACCCCCUCCCUAUGCAUAUAUGAGUUGCUAAUGACACCUAUUAAUUUACACACUUUUGUGUUAGGUGCUUCUAAAUAAAUUAUUGUGAUUUUAUAUCUUAUAAUUUUGAGUUAAAUAUAUUUUUUGUCUUUAUAAAAUUAA